GCAACAUCUCGACACCAAAAUGCUCUACGGUCAAACCCUCGCUCAUUUCAGUUUCUGUUUCUAUUCUUUCUCGUGACUUCAGCCUCUGUGAUUCUUGUCUGCGUACGUCGAUCAGCUAUUCUUUUCCCAUAAAAAAAAGAGCACUCAGGCGGCAGGCCCUGAGGGAACCUUUUGGUAUCAGUGCAGUAGUUGUAUAUCAUGUAGUUCUUUUGCGCCCAUCUCAGCUUGUUCAGCCCUGCACCAUCGAGCUGCUGCCACAUCCAGGCGUCGGCUUUGCAGGAGGACGACGGCCAGGAGCAGCCAUUGGCGGUGUAAUUCCUGAAGGCGGCGACGAAGGGCUCCUUGGACCAAUCUGUCUUCACCAGCCCUCCUCUCGUUGCCCAGUCCUCGGCGUCCCACAGGCUCCCGUAAACCCUCAUCGCCUGGCUCUUAGGUGUUGCACAGAAUUCAUGUGACUCACACAAUAUGGAACGGAUUCCACAAAACAGAGUAGGUGUGGAAAUGCUUGGAGGGAUCGAACCAGAGGUAGAACUGCUGCUCUCUGUUUCCCUUCCCUUGGCUGUACACGUUGGUGUGGAGGACGCAGGGGUCCCCGCUGAGGUUGCCCAGGAACUCCAAGUCGAUCUCAUCAUGCAUUGCACCUUGCGACGACAACUGCAACAGUGCAAUGGCAUUAUGCCAACGCAGAGUUCCCCGGUACGAGUUUCAGUUUCAUGUCGAACUUGCCGUAAAGGUACUGGGUUUUGGACUGGAAGCCAGAACCAGAGUACUUGUCGAGAGAGAGCGUGAGGAGAUGGCCAUUGUCGAGGAUCUUGGUACGGCCAUUG